GACGAACGCUGGCGGCACGCCUAACACAUGCAAGUCGAACGGUGAAGAGGAGCUUGCUCCUCGGAUCAGUGGCGGACGGGUGAGUAACACGUGAGCAACCUGCCUUUCAGAGGGGGACAACAGUUGGAAACGACUGCUAAUACCGCAUAAUGUCAUUUGGGGGCAUCCCCGAAUGACCAAAGAUUUAUUGCUGAAAGAUGGUCUCGCGUCUGAUUAGCUAGAUGGCGGGGUAACGGCCCACCAUGGCGACGAUCAGUAGCCGGUCUGAGAGGAUGAACGGCCACAUUGGGACUGAGAUACGGCCCAAACUCCUACGGGAGGCAGCAGUGGGGAAUAUUGCACAAUGGGGGAAACCCUGAUGCAGCGACGCCGCGUGAGUGAAGAAGUAUUUCGGUAUGUAAAGCUCUAUCAGCAGGGAAGAAAAUGACGGUACCUGACUAAGAAGCCCCGGCUAACUACGUG
rnacentral:rRNA from 1 species